AGUGACUGGAAGGGGUGCAGCAAGGAUCCACCCCUUCCCAGACCCUCAUUUAAGGGUUGGCAGUGGAGGCAAGGGGGUCUGGCUGAAGAUCUCUGCCUUCCCCUGAGGUCUUUCAAGGUCUGUAGAUCUUCUUGAUACCUCCAGGAGCUGCAUGCACAGCCAGAUGUAGUAGACUCUGCAGGUGAAAAUUCUGAAAAUACUUAUCUGCAUACAAGCAUAGCUUCAGUGAAUGGGAGCAGGCAGGAGUUGUGUUCUACAUGGUCUUCUACCUCAGGAGGAUGCACUAUUCUGGACUAUAUUAUGGCCACCAAGGCAUGUUUGCACAGGGGAGACUUUAUUCCAGGAGCUUAUGUGUGGCUCGAGAGCUUUGGCCUUGGAGUUGAAGUCCAGUUUUUGCAUAGUGGUGAGAGUGAGCUGAAUUAAAGUGUCAG